rnacentral:rRNA from 1 species
GUGUCAGCCGCCGCGGUAACACGUAGGAGGCGAGCGUUAUCCGGAUUUACUGGGCGUAAAGCGCACGCAGGCGGCUUCGUUAGUCGGACGUGAAAGCUCCCGGCUUAACUGGGAGAGGUCGUUCGAUACUGCGAGGCUUGAGGUUGGGAGAGGGGUGUGGAAUUCCCGGUGUAGUGGUGGAAUGCGUAGAUAUCGGGAGGAACACCUGUGGCGAAAGCGGCACCCUGGCCCACACCUGACGCUGAGGUGCGAAAGCGUGGGUAGCAAACAGGAUUAGAUACCCGGGUAGUCC